UAGGGAAUCUUCCGCAAUGGGCGAAAGCCUGUCGGAGCAACGCCGCGUGAGUGAUGAAGGUCUUCGGAUCGUAAAACUCUGUUAUUAGGGAAGAACAAAUGUGUAAGUAACUAUGCACGUCUUGACGGUACCUAAUCAGAAAGCCACGGCUAACUACGUGCCAGCAGCCGCGGUAAUACGUAGGUGGCAAGCGUUAUCCGGAAUUAUUGGGCGUAAAGCGCGCGUAGGCGGUUUUUUAAGUCUGAUGUGAAAGCCCACGGCUCAACCGUGGAGGGUCAUUGGAAACUGGAAAACUUGAGUGCAGAAGAGGAAAGUGGAAUUCCGUGUGUAGCGGUGAAAUGCGCAGAGGUAUGGAGGAACACCAGUGGCGAAGGCGACUUUCUGGUCUGUAACUGACGCUGAUGUGCGAAAGCGUGGGGAUCAAACAGG
rnacentral:rRNA from 1 species